UGCAGCGACGCCGCGUGGGGAUGACGGCCUUCGGGUUGUAAACUCCUUUCAGCCAUGACGAAGCCCUUGUGGGGUGACGGUAGUGGUAGAAGAAGCACCGGCUAACUACGUGCCAGCAGCCGCGGUAAUACGUAGGGUGCGAGCGUUGUCCGGAAUUACUGGGCGUAAAGAGCUCGUAGGUGGUCUGUCGCGUCAUUUGUGAAAGCCCGGGGCUUAACUCCGGGUUGGCAGGUGAUACGGGCAUGACUGGAGUACUGUAGGGGAGACUGGAAUUCCUGGU
rnacentral:rRNA from 1 species